rnacentral:siRNA from 1 species
AUGAUCUCGCCGUCCCACUCCAC